rnacentral:lncRNA from 1 species
GAGCACAGGCAGAGAGAUUUAGCAUCAUUCUUCAGGUCCCUAGGAUUUUCAGGAUGGCACGUGAGCACAGGCUGAACUUCAGGUUAGCAGCUGCAUUAGCCCCUAAUGAUAGAGUCAACACAUCCUUUGGAGCUUUGAAGCCAGGCCCUGACUUCUCCUCUCUAGCUAUGAGAGUCCUAAAUGGCAUCUUCUGAUAGAAGGCUGUUUCAUCCACAUUGAAAAUCCAUUGUUUAGUGGAGCCACCUUCGUGAAUGAUCUCCUCUAGAUCUUCUGGAGAAUCUUUCCUUAAGCCUCAUGAACCCACCUCUGCCAGCUUCAGACUUGUCUUCUGCAGUUUCGUCCCCUCCCUCAGGCUGCACAGAAUUGAGGAGAGUGAGGGCCUUGUUCUGGAUUAGGCUUUGGCUUCAGGGAUGUCCUGACUGUUGGAUCUUCUGUCUAGACCACCAAGACUUUCUCCUUAUCAGCAAUAAGGCUGUUUCACUUUAUCAUUCUUGUGUUCAGUGGAGUAGCACCUAUAACGUCCUUCCAGAACUCUUCCUUUGUAUUCACAACUUGUCUGUUUGGGGCAAGAGGCCUAGCCUUUGGCUUAUCUAGACUUUCAACACACCUUCCUUUCACUAGGCUUAAUCAUUUCCAGCUUUUGAUUUAAUGUGAUAGUUGUGUGACUCUUCCUUUCACUUGGACACUUAGAGGCCAUUGCUGGGUUUUUAAUUGGCUUAAUUUCAAUAUUGUUGUGUCUUGGGGAUCAGGGAAGUCUGAGGAGCGGGGGCGGGGGGUAGACGGAGCAGGCAGAACACACACCAAACAAUUACAUAACAUCAAAGAUCGCUGAUCACAGAUCGCCCUAGUAAAUAUAAUAACGAAAAUCUUUGAAAUAUUGGAAGAAUUAUCAAAUGUGACCCAGAGACUGAAAGUGAGCAAAUGCUAUUGGAACAACGGUGCCAAUAAACUUGCUAGACAUGGGGUGCCAUGUGAACACAGGGUAUCGGAAAAAUACCAUAAUGUGAGGUAUGUCUAUGCCUACCUAUCUCCCUACCUGUGAAAGAAAGAGGUGCCUGGGCAUCCCUCUGGCUCACCCAUCGCACCAUCAAUGAAGCACCAGGUAACCGGUGUCUGAGUGCGAAGUUGGGAAGAAGGAGCCACGGGGUGGACUGCUGUGCUGUGGGAGCCCAUGCCUUCUCUGUGCCUUGUUUAACUAUGUCUGAUGAUGAAGUUCUGUCCCCCACAGGGAGCACUUACAGCACCACAGGGCAGCUGUCUGAAACUGCUGCCUGGUUCUGCUGGCAGAAGCGGGAUUCUUAGGCCCCAUGCUGCACAUCCCAUUCAUCUUCCUGAGACCAGAGAUCUCCUGGUCUUCAACUAUUGUUUCUCUUCCAAACUUAGUAAUUAACUUUCCAGGAUUAGGAGAGGAGACUGUCACUUAGCUUUAAUUAAUUGUUGAAAGAACAGAGAGGGGUCUAUGUUUCUAAUAAAAGGAAAAUAAAAAAGGGAGAGAUUGGAAAUAUUCUGAAUGGGGGAACGCAGAAAUCAAAUGAAUGCUGAUUUUCAAACUCAGCUUCUUCUCAUUUUUCUUUAAAGGUUUUUUUGGGGGGAGGGGGUUUAUGAAGUUUUAAAUGUGUCCUUAAGGAAGGAUGUAUUACUCAGAAUAAAUGGCCUCUAGAUUAUUUUCCAAAGUCAGUUGUUAAAAAAUUUUUUUUGAAUGUCAGUCUGGUUACAUUUUUUAAGAAUAAAGCUUAUCUGAAAAGUGACUGUCAACUCAGGGUGGGUUACAGAUAAAACUGAAGUAGUGGGCAUGUUAGAAUCUUGAAGGAAGUUUCUUUUGAAAAAACCAAGUUGAUAUUUUUAUUGAGAGAAUGAAAAAAAAGUGUCAGUUUUCACAUGACAAAUUGUAGAGAGUUAAAAAAAAAAAUCUCUGAUGAGGUUAUGUAGAAGAGAAGGAUUCAUGAUUGAGAUACAUCUCAAAAUCCUGGAGGACAGGACAUGAGAUUGUCCAGGUUGCCAAAUAGAGGGAUGAGUUUUAGAAGGUUGAAAAGUAUUGUGUUGGAAAAAUAUCCAUUUUCUGAAAAGGCAGAAUGAAAAGAGCUGGAGUGGGAAUCAGGUACAUUUCUAUGGGUCUCUUGAAGAGUGGGUUCUGGGAGCGUCAGGUGGAGGGCCAAGGUCAGAGAAAGACAAGUACCCCCUCACAGAGUGGAUCCGUGAUUACCUAGGUGCUUUUGUCUUCUCGAUUUCGGUUUAUAAUUCUGCCAUUGAGUAAGCGCCUUUUCAGAACGGGGGGUGGGGGGAGCCAAUAAAGUUGAAUACAUACAAAU